rnacentral:rRNA from 1 species
CAGUCGCCGCGGUAAUACGGAGGGUGCAAGCGUUAAUCGGAAUUACUGGGCGUAAAGCGUGCGUAGGCGGUUCGUUAAGUCUGUUGUGAAAGCCCCGGGCUCAACCUGGGAAUGGCAAUGGAUACUGGCGAGCUAGAGUGUGUCAGAGGAUGGUGGAAUUCCCGGUGUAGCGGUGAAAUGCGUAGAGAUCGGGAGGAACAUCAGUGGCGAAGGCGGCCAUCUGGGACAACACUGACGCUGAGGCACGAAAGCGUGGGGAGCAAACAGGAUUAGAGACCCCUGUAGUCCCUGUCUCUUAUAC